UGUGUGUUGGGCUGAGAGCAGGUCCUCUGUGUUUGCCAGCUGAGCUCAGGUGACACACUGGAGGGCUAUUACAGCCUAUUGCCCUCUCUGGGGACCAUGAUGCCCUGCUGGUUCUGUGUGUGAGCGUGUGAGAGACAGCAGACAGCGAGCAGAUGGCUGUCUGUGUCCUGCAGUGUCUGCGUCUCUCUUCUGCAGAGAUGGCUAAACUCAAACUGAAACAUUGGCUCAGCGUCAAAAUCUGUGCUGUCAUAGUAACUCUGUUCCUUAUUCAUACACAAGUUAUAAGACAAAGCAAGUUGAUGCGAACAGAAAAGCGAGAGCUCCUGGUGUCCACAGGUAACCAAUCAGAGUCUUUCUCAUGGAAGACAAGAACCAAUCAGAGCUCUUAAUGUACAAAUGAAGGCGGUAAAGUGUUUAUGAAUCAUUGCACACUGUAUAUGAAGGGUUUAAAAUGCUUUUACUUCCUCAGGCAUUUAGUCCUAAUGAUUAGGUCCAUGUAAAAUGACGAAUGUGGUGGUGAAGCCUGGUAAUGAGGUUCAUGUGAAUGUGAUUUAGGAGUAUUUUACAGGGCUGUAAAGAAUGGUUUGCAGAUCGAUAUAUACCUUAUGCGAGGUAUAAAUCAGUGUAAUCUUAAUUUACUCAGAGAUCCCAGCAGAACACAUUGACCCCGCCUCCAUAGAUCUUACUGGACUCGUCAACACACUCAUCAAUGCUUCACAACCAGGUUCACAGCAUCUUUUCUCCUUACUCAGUGUGACGUCACACAGUUCACUCUCUCUCCACAAGCUCACGCUGCUGGUCUACAACAGUAACUACCCUUAUCCACACAGCCGAAUCACACUGUAACUACAGCACCAAUAUGGCACAAAUAUGAUGUCAUUCUGUGUGUGUUUGCAUGUGUGUAUCUGUGCGUCAUGUACACAUGUAUGGGCGUGUGUAGUCUCAGACUUUCAGGACAUUGAGAGCAGUUUAUUUCCAUUGAGAUACUGUUACUGUCUGACCAACAAGACCAAUGACCUCACAGAUUUCACAGCUAUUUUGUUGGAUGUAAUGGGAAAUUACACCAGUUAUUUGCAAGAACUAUUUAAGUCCAGCUCUAUCCUCUCAGUCAGUCAGAAGAACAGCUCUGACUGCAUCUAUAUCUGUGUCAUGGCUGGAAAGUCAGACAGUGAUCUGUCUCAGCUGUGGGACAUGGGCUCAGUCACACCUCUGUUUAAUUAGACCAUCACAGAGGAAAUACCCAGAGGUAAUAUAACAUUUCCAUUGCUGCCCUUUGUAAUGUGGCAUGACCUACCAAACACUAGUGACCUGGUACCAUGGCCUUAAGCCAUUACCAACUCCUACAGCACUCCCAGUGCAGAUUCCCACAGGAGCAGAGUACCAACCUCUACAAUGACAUCAUCACCUCUUAUUAGAUCAACAGCAGCUCCUGAAACUACUGUCCCUGUGACGACCACCGCCACUGUUUCUGUGACAACCACACUCAUUAGUGAUCUCACAACUGCUGUGAACACCCAGGCAAAAGCUGUAACGGUAACCACACACACCAUCGCUCCCAUGGUGAAGGUGACAAUUUCACUGCCAACGACAAGCAUCCAGCAGCUCACUAAAGUGUCUCAUUCAGAAAAACCAGGAUGUCCAUGGCGACUAGAGCUAUUUCAUCAAGGAGGUGAGAAAGAGGACCUGAAAGAGACUCUUGAAGAGGAGCUGAUCUGGGGCAGGGUGACCAUUAGCUCAGUGAAGCUGCAGCCAUGUGUGUUUGAGCUGUGCAAGUUUUACUCUCAGUGUGUGUGCAGAGGAUUCAGUCACAGAGCAGCAGCUUUACAGGGAUACUGUGUGGACAGCCAUCGCUGGUAUGACAGACACACAGCAGAGGUCUGCAGUCGUAUGAGGAGAGUCACUUUUUCCAAAAAUCUGAAGCAGAAAUGUCUGGCAAGAAUGUGUGUGAAGAUGCAAGACGAAAGCUGAGCUUCAUUUGCAGGUGACAGACAUCUGAACCAUCUGAACUGAAGAAUUUGUUUAUGUAUGUGUGAGAGAAACUGGGUUCUGUUAAACACUGAACAGCAUUGUCAUCAUCUGUAAAUCAAAAAUCUGUAUAGUCUGUGCAUCUAGUGCCCAAAUUGCACUUUGUCUCUCCUGAAUAUUAAUAAAACCGAAUAUAUAUUUACCCAUGUUUUUUGUAGUUUUACACCAACAAACAUGCUAAAAUCAAACCUGGAAGCACCUGAAAAAAAAAAAAAAAACUUUUUAUAAAAGCCAUUCUGUAUUGAGAAAUAUCCCUAAAAUUUGUUCAGUGUAAAUAAAAAUGGAUUAAUACACC
ensembl:lncRNA